UGCCUUGUGGUGUAGUGGUAGCACGCAACUCUCUAAAAGUUGAGGUCCGGGUUCGAUUCGAUGGCAGGGCGA
rnacentral:tRNA from 1 species